rnacentral:rRNA from 1 species
GACGGAGGAUGCAAGUGUUAUCCGGAAUCACUGGGCGUAAAGCGUCUGUAGGUGGUUUAAAAAGUCCACUGUUAAAGAUUGAAGCUUAACUUCAAAAAUGCCGUGGAAACUUUUAAACUUGAGUAUGAUAGGGGUAGAGGGAAUUUCCAGUGGAGCGGUGAAAUGCGUAGAUAUUGGAAAGACCACCGAUGGCGAAGGCACUCUACUGGGCCAUUACUGACACUGAGAGACGAAAGCUAGGGGAGCAAAUGGG